GCGGUCGUAGCUCAGCUGGAUAGAGCAUCUGCCUCCUAAGCAGGGGGUCGCGCGUUCGAAUCGCGCCGAUCGCA
rnacentral:tRNA from 1 species